rnacentral:SRP_RNA from 1 species
UGCCGGGAACCGUGCGGCAGCAGGUUGGUGAACCCCGCCAGGACCGGAAGGUAGCAACGGUAAGUCGAUUCUCUGUGCGAUACGUUAUUCCCGGCGCCC